GUUAACCAAACCGUUAACAACAAACCAAACAAAACUGAAAAAACAGUCUAGGAAAGAAGGAAGAGAGACUCCAAUGGCAUCAAUGACCAUCUCUCUUUCCUUAUCUACAUGUUCUUCAGCAUCUUUCUCCUCUCAAACCAAGACUUCAAUUAAAUCCCAUCAAACCAACUUGUCAUCGACAUUGUUUGGUGCAAAAGUAUGGGUCGACAGUACACUCAGAUCAAAAUCAAUUACCAAGAUAAGCACUUCUAGUGGGAUUACUUGCUUUGCUGCUGCUUCUUCUGUUCUUCCUUCAGCUCUUCUCUUCGACUGCGAUGGCGUGCUUGUUGAUACUGAGAAAGAUGGUCACAGGGUUUCUUUCAACGAUACUUUCAAUGAAAAAGAGUUGGGGGUUACAUGGGACGUGGAUUUGUAUGGCGAGUUGCUCAAAAUCGGAGGUGGAAAAGAAAGGAUGACAGCCUACUUUAACAAGACUGGUUGGCCAGAAAAGGCUCCAAAGAGUGAAGAAGAACGAAAAGAAUUCAUAGCUUCACUUCAUAAGCGAAAGACAGAGUUGUUUAUGGCCCUUAUUGAGAAGAAAUUGUUACCUCUUCGGCCAGGCGUUGCAAAGUUGGUCACUACCAGAUCUUUUGCUUAUCUAAUAACAUUUAAUAAAUACUUGAUGCUUUUGUUUAAUUUGCUGCAUAUAUAUCUUUUGGCAGUAAUUAAGACUUAAAAUAGAACAGGUUGAGAAAAAUUUAGCAGGAACUAAAACCUGGCUUGUAAGUUAUUGUUCUUCUUAAAAAUUACAAUAAAAGUUGCUAGCUGAAUAAAUACUUUAAUUUGGUACCCAAUAUCUUGACGAUUUGGGCUCCAAUUUAUUCUCAUCCAUCCUUGUGAAUGUGUCAAUUAAGAAUAAGCAUUUCCCUUCAAGUCAUUAUCAAUGAAUUUAUCCUGUCCAUGUAGUUUGUUUUUUUCACAUUGUUACCAUUGAUAGAAAGAAUAAGUGACUCCUUUGCUUCAUAAAAAUCUAUGUUCUACUCAAUCUCUGAGUUGAUGAGGGGAGCAGCAGCUCCCACUCCUUAGUUACAGUUGAAGCUAAAAACAUUUAUGUUUAGGCUUUUCAGUUGGAAUUCCUUUUAAGCUAUGGUUUACUGUUGACAUUUAUGAAUGAGGAACUAUAAUCAUGCAAGAAAUUUUUAGCUUUCCCUGUAUCAGCUAUAUGUUCUACAAAUAUGAAUAUGGUCAUAACCAAAAGCAGAUGGUUCACUUAUCGAAAUUUACAGGCUGGUUGAUCAGGCUUUGGGCAAAGGAGUCAAAGUUGCUGUCUGCAGCACUUCCAAUGAGAAGGCGGUCUCUGCAGUAGUUUCAUUUUUGCUGGGACCUGAGAGAGCAGAGAAGAUCAAGGUAUUUGCAGGAGAUGUGGUUCCCCGUAAAAAGCCUGACCCGGUAUGCUUUAUAUGGAAGUAACACAUUUUGAUUUUAGUUUUAUUUGGUUGUAGCUGCAAGUUCAUCAUAUAAUUUAAGUGGUGAUAGUCAUCUCCAAAUGGGAUUUUUAUGAUGACAUGUCAUCAAAUUUUAAGAUCUGUUGAGUCUUGUCAUUAUCAAUCAGUUCUGAAACUGAACAAAAGUUUUCAGUUUUGAAGUUGCAAUUUAUGGAAUAUCCUUUUAGUCUUCACUCAGCUUGACUUUAUCAUUAAACUUGCUAAUGGUAGGAAAAAAUGAGUUCAUGUGCCACUGAUUACAAAGAUGUUUGAUUGUUCCUAACAGGCCAUAUACACAUUAGCAGCCAACACUCUGGGUGUUGAUCCUUCAAGGUAUGAGGGCUUAUUUUAUGUUAUAGUAAGCAAUAAGGUCAUGUUUCAUUUAAAUUAUGCAUUAAAUAAAUUGCGAGGGAUCAAUAUAUGUCCACUAAAUCAUGAAUUGUUUUGAAAUAAAAUCAACUAAGUCAUGCAAAUUCAAGUCUACUGCUAGCAAUUUUAUACUUUUAAAUUGUCCUGCAGUUUGACUUGUUUUAUGCAUGUUCUAUGCCUUAUAUUUUCUUUAAUUGGCAACGACUGAGAAAUAACAAGUGUCAAUUUAUUAAGAGCAAAAACACAUGAUCUUCAUUUCUGCAGUUGUGUAGUGGUGGAGGACAGCGCGAUUGGCCUUGCAGCUGCCAAAGCUGCUGCAAUGAAGUGCAUAGUAACAAAGAGUGGUUACACAGCGGAUGAGGACUUCUUAAAUGCAGAUGCAGUGUUUGAUUGCAUUGGAGAUCCUCCAGAAGAGCGUUUUGACUUGGCAUUCUGUGGAAGCCUUCUUGAAAAGCAAUAUGUCAGCUAGAUCAUGUUAUUCUCUUAACUGUAGCAAUUCCUUAUGGUUUCUUACCUUUAUUUAUUAUCUAGCCAAUUAUGUUUUGAAUCCUGAAAUAAAACAAAAGCUGAUAUGCUAUUACAUUUUAUUUUUGUAGUUUUAUUAUGCAUCUUGCCUUUUUCUAAGGAAUACAUCUCUGCUUCUGUGAACAAGCUGAUCUAAGAAGGUCUUUCUAUUUCCAAUCAAUGUGUUAGCUAGCUCAGGCUGCACAGGAUUCGACCAACUGGCCAAAGAUACCUUUACUUUCUCGAGUAUUCAAUGCCAGCAGGUGAGGCAUAAAACCUGUGAAGCGUUGUUUACAAAGGCAGC
rnacentral:misc_RNA from 1 species